AACGUCCGUCGUGAAGAGGGAAACAACCCAGACCGCCAGCUAAGGUCCCAAAGUCAUGGUUAAGUGGGAAACGAUGUGGGAAGGCCCAGACAGCCAGGAUGUUGGCUUAGAAGCAGCCAUCAUUUAAAGAAAGCGUAAUAGCUCACUGGUCGAGUCGGCCUGCGCGGAAGAUGUAACGGGGCUAAACCAUGCACCGAAGCUGCGGCAGCGACGCUUAUGCGUUGUUGGGUAGGGGAGCGUUCUGUAAGCCUGUGAAGGUGUGCUGUGAGGCAUGCUGGAGGUAUCAGAAGUGCGAAUGCUGACAUAAGUAACGAUAAAGCGGGUGAAAAGCCCGCUCGCCGGAAGACCAAGGGUUCCUGUCCAACGUUAAUCGGGGCAGGGUGAGUCGACCCCUAAGGCGAGGCCGAAAGGCGUAGUCGAUGGGAAACAGGUUAAUAUUCCUGUACUUGGUGUUACUGCGAAGGGGGGACGGAGAAGGCUAUGUUGGCCGGGCGACGGUUGUCCCGGUUUAAGCGUGUAGGCUGGUUUUCCAGGCAAAUCCGGAAAAUCAAGGCUGAGGCGUGAUGACGAGGCACUACGGUGCUGAAGCAACAAAUGCCCUGCUUCCAGGAAAAGCCUCUAAGCAUCAGGUAACAUCAAAUCGUACCCCAAACCGACACAGGUGGUCAGGUAGAGAAUACCAAGGCGCUUGAGAGAACUCGGGUGAAGGAACUAGGCAAAAUGGUGCCGUAACUUCGGGAGAAGGCACGCUGAUAUGUAGGUGAAGUCCCUCGCGGAUGGAGCUGAAAUCAGUCGAAGAUACCAGCUGGCUGCAACUGUUUAUUAAAAACACAGCACUGUGCAAACACGAAAGUGGACGUAUACGGUGUGACGCCUGCCCGGUGCCGGAAGGUUAAUUGAUGGGGUCAGCGCAAGCGAAGCUCUUGAUCGAAGCCCCGGUAAACGGCGGCCGUAACUAUAACGGUCCUAAGGUAGCGAAAUUCCUUGUCGGGUAAGUUCCGACCUGCACGAAUGGCGUAAUGAUGGCCAGGCUGUCUCCACCCGAGACUCAGUGAAAUUGAACUCGCUGUGAAGAUGCAGUGUACCCGCGGCAAGACGGAAAGACCCCGUGAACCUUUACUAUAGCUUGACACUGAACAUUGAGCCUUGAUGUGUAGGAUAGGUGGGAGGCUUAGAAGUGUGGACGCCAGUCUGCAUGGAGCCGACCUUGAAAUACCACCCUUUAAUGUUUGAUGUUCUAACGUUGACCCGUAAUCCGGGUUGCGGACAGUGUCUGGUGGGUAGUUUGACUGGGGCGGUCUCCUCCUAAAGAGUAACGGAGGAGCACGAAGGUUGGCUAAUCCUGGUCGGACAUCAGGAGGUUAGUGCAAUGGCAUAAGCCAGCUUGACUGCGAGCGUGACGGCGCGAGCAGGUGCGAAAGCAGGUCAUAGUGAUCCGGUGGUUCUGAAUGGAAGGGCCAUCGCUCAACGGAUAAAAGGUACUCCGGGGAUAACAGGCUGAUACCGCCCAAGAGUUCAUAUCGACGGCGGUGUUUGGCACCUCGAUGUCGGCUCAUCACAUCCUGGGGCUGAAGUAGGUCCCAAGGGUAUGGCUGUUCGCCAUUUAAAGUGGUACGCGAGCUGGGUUUAGAACGUCGUGAGACAGUUCGGUCCCUAUCUGCCGUGGGCGCUGGAGAACUGAGGGGGGCUGCUCCUAGUACGAGAGGACCGGAGUGGACGCAUCACUGGUGUUCGGGUUGUCAUGCCAAUGGCACUGCCCGGUAGCUAAAUGCGGAAGAGAUAAGUGCUGAAAGCAUCUAAGCACGAAACUUGCC
rnacentral:rRNA from 1 species